CUUGUCCGACCCCAACCCCUCAGUCCCAGCUCAGUGAAACUAACCCUGAAGCUGCCCGGAAGGGCAAGAGCGGAAGGCGCUGGGGACCGGCGGCCGGGCCCGGGGUUCCUGCCCCUGCCCUCUCCUGCUCCCCAACAGAGAUCUUCAUGACUGGAAAAAUCUGCCUGGAGAGGCCAGAGCCUAGAAGCCAGUGAAAAGAAUGCCUGGCACCUUUCCUGCCAGCUCCUUCACACCUGGUCCCAAAAUUCCCAGGAGUGCUCCUUGACCUCAGAGGCCCAACAGGCAAACCCAGAUUGGUGUUUCUAUCCUAGACAAGAGUCAACUCUCUUCUGGGUUUUGAUUUUGUCUUUGUUUUAUUUUGUUUUUGUGAAUGAGUGUGGCCUGGCCCAGCUGUCCUUCCAAAGCCUCUCUCUGGCCCUAGAACUCAACUACAGGAGCAAAAAAUCUAUGGAAAGCUUUAGGGCAAAAUCGAAUGACCCUUCCUAAAUGCCUACAGAGUUAAAGCAGAAAGAAGAGGGGAUAAUUUUAAGUCCCAAAGCCUGAGUUCUCAGGGUAGAGCCACCGAGAGAGGUGAAACAUCCCAAACGGAAACGAUGGGGCGCGACUUGGGUUUCUCAAAGUUGUGGUAAGUUUAGCUUUACAAGUACCAGCGUAUGAGUUCUUUAAAUCACCCAGCACUGGGGAAUCUGGGGAACAAGACAGACCCCGCCGACCAGGUACAGGCUUCUGGCAGAAGGCCAAAAAAAGCGACAUUAUCAAGAUCUCCGACAUCCAAGGCCCUAAUACUGGGCCGCGGUGGACCUUCGGCGGAAGAACGGCGGAAUCCUCUUUAGAUUUUAUCUAAUAAACUGAUAACCAAAGUAGAUUGAUAAGGCGGAACCCCGAGCCAAUCACAACAUUAAUCCCUAAAGGAAAGAAACUAAAGUUUGGGGUCUCGGUGCCGCACUUCAGGCUGUGCAUGGGUUGACACGUGGCCCUCGGGGGCGGGAGUGAGCCCUCAGAGUUUCCUUUCAAGCCACUGGCGCUGCAGUACUGAGCAGGGGGCAAGGCAAAGAGCGCUGCAGAGAGUUGAAGUGCCGGACUCUCCACCUGGUCCGCACUGGCCUGCGGGCUCCAGGAAGUUCCGAAAGGAGCCGAGGAAACCUAGGCACCGUGGCCAGAUCCCGGCACACUAGGGCUCACUUUCCCCGGGGGUCGGAGCCCCGCGCUGCGCAAGAAGCCGGGCACCGAGCACCGGGAACCAGGGAGGGAAGGAGGGGCAAGCGGUGGGAGCAGACUUACCUGCCCGCAGCUAUCGCUACCUCCGAGCUGUCCGGGUGUCCCUGCGCACGACAACCAGCAAAGACAACUCGGCUUUGCUAAGUUUGGCCUCGCACCUCCAGAGAAGAGGCGCGAACCGGCAAAUUAAAGGCGCGCUCGGUUCCUGGAGAGAGGUUCCCCUGAACUUGGGAAGGGGAGCGCAAUGAAUUCUGCUCAAGAAGUUAAUAUUUAAAGCACCCACGCAAAAAUCAAAACGACUGUUAAAGACUCGUAUUCUCGCCUUGAAAGUCUCCUUAAACCAGCCGGGAGGACAAUUCAGAUCUACAUGAUUUCAUCCUAAGGUUUCUAACUUCUUUGAGGAAGGGCUUUAUAGGUACUGUAUAAAUAGUACAAAUAUAAAUGUCUUCCAAAACACGGAGAAUGAGAACUUUUACUGAAACGAAGAAUAAGUGAAAGAGUAUAAAAAGCCAAAAAGGAAGAAGUUGGAAACUUUAAUUACAGCCCAGAGAAAACUUUUAGCAAUUGAUUUCCUUAAACAGGAAUAACAAACACACCAACGACUCCAGCAGUCCAUCGCACUUCAUUUAAGUUUGGUGUAACCAAAUAACCCGAACUCCCAAAUAACAGUGCCCUUGGGACUCUGCCUCAAAGAGGUCGGAACUCAUGUUUCAACAACAAAAGCAAAAAAGCAAACUGUGAAUAAUGCUCUGCGUUCUUUAAGACGUCAUUUUGCAAAAGGACCAGGCAUUGUCCCUGGACUUUAAAUGGAUAGAGAAUAACAUUAAAUUUCAUUUGAAUCUGCGCAUCAUCAUAUUGGGAAGACCACAGCGGUAGCGACAGUAGCAGCAGCACCGCCACAAAGGAGGUGGGGAAAAGUGGUAAAAAUGCAUGAACUUUUUUCAAAGAAAAAUAAAGAUAAAUCAAAAAUAAGUUUUACAGACAUGUCUUUCCUGGCUUAGGAAAGUUAAUUUUUAAAUGUUCUCCUGCUGUCUAAGGUGCAAAGCCGAGUCUAGGGGAGUGCGUGGCUGGAAUCUGCAUGCUGAUAAGAGAAGGCUGAUGUACUUACAGUGACAGAGGGCAGGCUGCGGGAGAAAAGCUGUUUGUGUUAGCCUGCGAGUUACCCAGGGCUGCAGUGAGAGCAGAAGGGAGGAGUGGGAGUGCCAGUCUGCGUACACCUUCACCGCGUCUCAUUACAUCUGCCAGCCUCUCUCUCCCUCUCUCUUUCAUUUCCACAUUCCCUUUGUUCCUGAAAAAAAAAUCUACACGUCACAUCAGAGUCCCCAGAUGCAGUCUACACCAAAGAAAAAAAAAUGAAUAAUUCAAUCAAACUGUGCAUAGUCUCUAAGGCAAUAAAUCUAUUGCACUUAAAGAAACGAAGGGUAAUUACCACCAUGGAAUUAGAAUAAGGCCAAAGACCCGAGAUGUCGUUAAGUCUCUGGGUAAACUCCCCGGUCAAAUAAAGUUUCAUUUAUUUAAUCCUUUUGACAUCUCAAAUGGAAAGUCAGAGAAAGAUUUUAACUUGUUUUAGAAGGAUAUUCACUUAUCUUUAAACACAUUUUUAGAAGGGGGGGAGAAAGCGCCUCGGGCAUACUACCCUGCUGAAAAGGCUCCCAAAGGCAGCAGCACAGAGCGGGCACAAACAUGAACCAAGACAAUGUGUCCGUGGAGCCUGUCCAGGGUCAGUUUCUCCUCCACUCCACCCUCCUCCUCUCUCUCAUUAGACGAGGAUCGAGGAUCGCUCUCCACUCUCACCGGCCACCACCGAAGCUCGACUUGAGAGCAGCUGGAAUCUGGGAACGUUACCUGCAGCACCAGAACCUAAGAGAAAUCGCGAUUCCCUGCCACCAACAUCCCAUGCCAUCCCCAUGCACCCCUCCAAGUCCCGUAAUCAUCUACUUCUUCCAUCUGCCUAAGAGAAACUGUAAAAGGGAUUUUUUCCCCCCAUGACUGAAUGGAAGCUCUGUACUGUACCGACUUCUGGAUUUGCCCUGGGUUGAGUUUAGGGAAUGUCUGGAAAGAAAAAAAAAGGAGGGGUGCAGCUCAAGCCUUAUCCAAGUUACUCUUAAGGCUGUAUUAGACAGGAAAAGAGCCUACGGGAGAAACAGCUGGGAUGCACACUGACUUGGAAAUCUCAGUUCUAGGAACCGUGUCUUUUCAUCCCGGAGGUAAGACUGUGUGAUUCUCGCACGUUUAUCGUUUUGCUGUCUGUGUGUCUCUCUUACCCACCGGCAGGGACCUCUCCCCAUCGGGUCAGCCAGCAUGCACCCUAGAGAAGGACACAGCACGACAUAAGGCUUUCUUUUCCAGGUCUCUCCACUCAUAAAUUGUGGGCGUCAUUGAAACGAGAUUAGCAAAUCUUUUCCCGCUGGCGGCAGCCACCAGACCCUCUGUCCCUCUGCUGUUGCACCCUGGUCGCGGCAUCUCGGGUUACACAAUGGUCCGGAAGACCUAGCCUGCCGGGUCGCCUAUCCUGAGAGCUCAGGUGAUGCAGAGGAGAAUCUCGGCGUCCCAAACGGGUUCCACCGAGAGUUUCCACUCAAUACCACCUCCCGCCGCCUCUGUGCGUGCGGUAGCACGCACCCACAGACACACACAUAGACACAUACACGUUUUGCCAUCCUGGCCGAACUCUUCAUCUAAACUCAAGUCUCUUUAACAGUCAAUUCAGUCCGCUUGAGAGCAGCGGGAAAACUAGGAUGAUACGUGGAUGAACCGCGAGGGUGCCAACCGUCCGGCUUGGCCGAGCUUUGUUUACGUGCCUAAGUCGCCACCUUGAGGUCGAGCGGAAGACUGCGCCCGGCUCCCGGCUGUUGAGACCAACCCGGCGGACACCGGCCCCUCAGUCUCGGCGAAUGCCUUGGACCGCUCUAAAGAGAAGCAAAGGGAGGGCACCUCUCAAGCGGACUGUCUGAGCAAAGCAAGGCCUGCCCUCUGACACCCGGGUUGAGAGGAGUAAGGGCUAACACUGCAGGUUAGCUGAAACCAAUAGCAGGGAACCGAGCGAAGGCGCACUCUCCCAGCAAAGUGCAAAACCCGGGACCAGUCUGCAGAUGCAAGGCAGGCACUGCUGCCCUGAAACUUCAAGCACUCCCAGGGCAGUAGCAGAGGGUUGGAAGCAGCUUCGGAGAGGCGUAGCGGUAGCUCGGGUCCUGUUUGAGGACCAGGUUCCCUUUUGCGGCGACCUCGGCUCAGCUCGGACUUCGUACUCCCACGGGCUCCUCUCCCGCUUGCUCUCUACCCUCGGGGCCGGAAACAAAGGGAUUCAACCACGCAGCUAGACCCGAGGUCACUUAGCAGGGGGAUUCCAGGAUAGAACUACGUGAAGGAGAGGGAUGUGCUCAGGCAACCUGGCCGUCUGCAGCGACGACUGGAUACUUAGUGCUAAUAGUCACCCAUUUCUCAGGAAAACAGUCCUUCUGAUUGUCUAACAAUGGAUUCGGUAAAAUAAUAGUGAUUGUUAAUUAUAUCAGCAAUUUCCAACUUUCCCACCCAUACUUAUAUUGAAACCCUUUUCCCGCACACCGUUCUUCCUGUAUUCACGUCUUGCAUUAUAAAAAUACCAGGCUUAAGAAUACCCUAGCCAAAUUCUGAAAUAACUUGUGGUUGUUCUUUGUUGUGCCUGGACACUGCCUCCAAGGCAUGGGGACGUCUGCAAGGCCACUGCAAGUCCCAUCUCUUCUGUGAAAUGUGCCUUAGAACUGUCCUGGGAAUUUCCCUGUUACUUGGGUACACAGACAUUGUUUAAUAGUAAUGCUUUACAAAAGGAGAAGAAUAAUUUGACUUAUCUCCAAAAAGAGGACACUCAGGAACUAUCUUGUGCUAUAUGAGGCUAUAAUUCACUCCUUGCUAAUACCGACUGGGGCCUUUCAGUAGUUUGGUCAGAAUAACAAGAACAGUAGUAGUAGAAGAAAUACAUUUUAUAAAAAGAACCACAGCGACCUAAUGCUGAUGAUGGACAACAGGAAAUGUCUUUUCAAAGAAGAGAAGCAACAGGCCCCCAAGCCAGACGCAAUUCUGCUGUUUCGUACUACAACCUAGCAAAUUAACAUCCGAUUGCUCCUUCACUUGUGUGGAAAGCUGAGUGUUAUGGAAUACAGUAUGGAAUUUUCCCAGGGAAUCCCAAUUAUAGAAACACCUGUGCUAAGUAAUGCUAUUUUAAUCCACUAUGAAAACCUUAAGUAUGUAAUAGCCCUCAAAUCAUCUCAUUUCUUAGUCACAUGGGGUGGGCCAACCUCAUGGAAGAAAUGCCCCAGAGCUUUAUCUCAGGGGGUUUUGCCUUGGUUUUACCAUACAUAAUCCUGACAGUUCACCUCUUAAAUGGAAGGGAUAUAUACAUGAAGUCUACUGUAACUGGCAGAAACUAAGCCUGGAUAGAAGCCUCACAAAGAAAAAUAAAAUCAAAGGCCAAUGACUACAAAACUGGAACACAUGGCACAUGUGCAGUCAGACACCAACUCCGUGAUCUUUAAAUCAAAUCCUAAUAACAUAGGAGAAGUUGUCACUGUUCUGUAUAUACAUUUCAUUUUAGUACAGAGUAUCAAUGGCAAAAUAUAGUGAAAUAAAACCACCAUAAAAAGGAAUGUGGUAGAAACCAAAAAAUUAUAAACCUCUAUCAAUUCCCCCCAAAAUACACAUCAGACCUAAUAUUUUAAAAUGCCAAACCUAAUAUUUUUGAAAUGCUAUAUGAAAAAAAUUAUUUAUUAAAGUAAUAACUUAUAGCUUAAGGCUGCCAAAACUAAUAUCACUAAAACAUCCAUAUGAAAAGUGAAAUAUUUAUCAGUUAUCCAAAUGUUUGUCUUAUAAAGAUACAUAGAAUUGUUUUUCUAUUAAAAGUGAUCUAGAAAAUACUAUAGGUAGGCAUGAAAAUUAUAAAAAUCACAGAGAGGCAAAAAUAUGAUAAAGAGUAAUCAUAUGAUAAAGAGUAAUGAUAGAUUAAAUCAAACACAGAAAUAAAUUUAUUCACUAAAAUUCAACAUAUCCCACAUGAUAGCAUCCUUCUAAGGUAACAUGUCACCUUUUCAGCAUCCGGUAAUAUUAUUAAAGCAUUUACAUUCCUUCAUAUGUGCCACUCUCUACUUAAAGAAACAUUUACCUCUGCCCAAAUCUGAGGUUUACAAUUCACUAAGAUGACUAUCACUCCAUUCAUUACACAUUUAGCCACACUAGAUACAUCUGAUAAAUCAUACAGACCCAUUCCAAUGCCUAAUAAAAGACAAGCAAAGGACACAAAAACAAUGCUGUAAAAUUGUUCACUGAUAAAUAUCAAAUAAUAAAACAACAAUUUGCUAAUAUUACUAGUCUUUAAAAGUUUGAUCAUUUACCUUAGAAAUUUUAUGCUUUCUGUAUGUAUUAGCAUUGUUUUAAAAACCUGAAUUUGCCUAAAUUAUAUAAUUUUCUAAAAUUUAUUAUUUAGAAAUCUUUCUUUCAAAUCCCAGAUUGUUGAUUUUAAUAUUUCUAAAUAGAGGAUUUCUGUGUGUGUGUGCAUUUUUAAAUAUCACAGUUACAUUGAAGACUUUUGCUGUUUUAUACAUUUUUAAUUCACAAAUUAAAUAUUUAUUGAGUGUCUAAUAUGUGCAAAGCAAAUAAUUAAAAAGUGCAUUAACUGAGGAUCUAUCUUUUGCACUUUUCUAAUUUAAUAAAUGUUAGUUAAAAGCCUUUUGUACAUAUAUUGAAAAAAAUUUUUUUACCAAAUAUCAGCAGAAAUAUUCUGUUCAAUAUAAGUACAUUUGAUAGUUACAUAUGAUGUUAGUUCAUUUUAUUUGGCAUAUACUAUUUAAGCUACCUCAGAUAUUUUUAUAAACCAACAAGCUAUCACAUUUCUAAAAGCUUUUCUAACUUAUCAAAAGAUAUAUCUUUUAAAAGCUUUAUUUAGAAACAGAAUCUACAGUUAUAAACCAAUUCCAAAUAACAUAUUUUAUAUAUUUUAAUUUUAAAUGAGUACUAAAAGAAACUUCAUAACUUCAAAUUGAUCUGUAAUUGCUAUUCAAAAUUAUUCUAUAACUUUUUAUGUUUUAUGUCUCUAACAUGUAGCAUAAUUGUACAUAUAAGAUAAAGAUAUUAUCUAUCAAAAGGGAAGCAAAUGAAAGUUAAAAUAUAAUUCGGUGUUCCAAGUAUCUGGAUGUUUACUAUUACUGAAAUAGCUCAUUGAAUUUUAUUGAAUUUUUAAGUUUUCAUCAAGAUGUUUUGCAUGAGGUUUGAAUGUUUUAUUUUUAAGGUGAGGGGACGGGGACAGACAACAAUAUUGAGAAUAUGCAACAAUGAUCAUCCUCAUGUUAAUUCAUGUCUAUUUAAGACAAUAAUGAGAGAAAAGCUUCACUUAUUCAUACUUAAAGUUCUAGAAUAGUAGGCUUCUGGAGAAAACAUUUAAACUCAAGAGCUCAACACAAAACCUCUUUUAAUUAUAUUCAAUAUGUUAUCAAUCUACUUUCAAAGUUGAUGAAGUUUAGUACUAAACUGAAUAUUAAGCAAAUAAGUGUUAACUAUGUUCACUAGAAUUAGCAUAUUUCAGAUUAUAGUUUAUAAAUUUUUAAGAGCAUCAGCAUCAUGAUAUGGUUACCAUAGAAACUGCAACAAUAUGUCAUUUUGAUUAAUUUUAUAUGCAGUGAUAAGGCCUAGUUCUACAUUACUUCAAUAUAAGUUUGAAAAGCAAUAUAAAUAGUGAGUAGUGAGUUUCCAAUUUAUACUAGUUUAGAAACUAAUAAAGUACAAACCUUUUAAAAAAGAAAAAUCCACAAUGCAUUCUAAUAGCCUGAAAGGACAGCAGUUUAGAUAAGGUUAUAAGAUAUUUUUAAAUGGAUACAUUCUGAAAUAAAAAGUUUCAGUAACAAUCAGCUACUUCUCUUAGUAUUCCAUACUCUUGCUACUUAGGUUUAUUUAUGGAUACCAAAAUUAUUGGUUACUACAUAUCACUUAAUUAUUAAGUUAUGAGUGUUCUUUCUGUUCUCAAGAGAUAGGUGCAUUUGGUUUUACAUUAUAAAUUCAAAAAGACUAGAGCAGAAUUUUAAUAUUUUUAAAGUAAUUAUUAUAACAGAUCCCUUUCAUUUAGAAGUAAGACACAAUUACAAAAGUCUUAUUAUAUCACUGCCAGAAAUAUUCCAUUGACAUUAAUGGCUUGAUUAUUGGAACAGAAAAAAAAACUAUAAAUAAAGAAUACAUUUUAUAAAGAAUAAAUAUGGCAAGAGAUUUGGAGCUCUAAGUUAUAUGCUCAUUGGCUAACAAAUAUCUUUUCCUUGUAUUUUCUAUCAUUGCAUAUUUUGAAAUGGAAUAUGCCCAAGAGAACUCUGAAAAUAAUUUGAAAAGGCACACUAUAUUUAAAUCUAUACUUAUUAUGCAUCUUUCCUAGGUAUAAUAUAGACUGUGUUGCUAAUAAUUUCAAUGAAUUUCUACAGGGCAAUGUCCUCAAACUAGCUAAAAAAUAUUAUAUUCUUAAAAGUGAUUUUUUAGAAAAUAAAUGAAGGCAGUAUGUGUGUAUUUUUUUCCAAAUGAUAAAGAAACAAUCCAAGGAGGAAAUGAUAAACAUAUACAACUUAUUCUUCUUGAUAGGAUUAAGAGGAUUGCAAAGAAGCUUUUAAAUCCCCAGUUUUCCUGACAAUUAACAAUGAAAAACAGAUGUUUACAAAGCUGUUUCAUAUGCUGUCUUUAAAGGCGAUAAAAGAUGGUUUGUGGAUAGUAAGAACGAAGAGCCAGAUAACUGCUUGCCGGGUGUAUAUUUAAAAAGCAUUUUCAUUGGCUCAGUUAUUGUUAAUAGUGAAAGAAAACACUUUGUGCUGCACAUACUGUAUGACUGUGAGUAUAGAAAACUGCCUUCAUAAAGUCCUCAAAAACUCUUAAGAUGUAAUUUACAAAGAUAAUAAUAACACAGAAUUAUUUCACUUCUCUGAAUGCUACACAUUUGCAUACCAGGACUGUGUACAAUAUACUCAUAAUGCACAUUCAUAAUAACAAGGACUUCUUAACACUGUAACUACAGCAUAAGAUCUGUGCAUUAGCCAGUCUAUCCUACCAAGUUUUACUUAUUGGUAUGAAAGUGUUAGUCUAAGUAAGCCAGGUGUUAGCUGUCUACAAAAGGGAAGACCACUCUAUUAACCACUACAUCACCAUUGUGAGAAAAUCCGGUGAUAAAACUAAAAAACAUGUGACCCUGCAAGGCAAUAACAGCAUUAUCCAGCAAUAUAUUGAAAAAUGUCAAAUGAAUAUUUUAAGUUAUAUGUCAAAAUCAUAGGCCUAUACUGCAAAAAAAAAAAAAAACCCACAAAAUAUAACUACUGUUUAAUGUUUAAUUGAUUUUAAUAUACUAUUAUUUCUAGAAACAAGCACCAUGCUAGAUACUUUUUUAAAUGUUUAAUUUUUUAAAUAUUAGUUUGGGUAUUACUAUUUAGUGAAAACAACCUUAAUAAUAAGUCUUCUUCAUGAAGCAUUUGUCUCCUGCCUUCAGCAUAGUAACUGUAUAUUUGGUAUGCACUACAGAUACUUUGGACUUUCCAGGUUGCUCAGUGGUAAAGAAUCCACCUGUUAAUGCAGGAGAUGUGGGUUUGAUCCCUGGGUCAGGAAGAUCCCCUGGAAAAGGAAGUGGCAACCUAUUCCAGUAUUGCUGCCUGGAAAAUUCCAUGGACAUAGGAGCUUGGCAGACUACAGUCUAUGGGGUCACAAAGAGUCAGACACAACUGAGCAAUCGAGCAUUCAUGAGCAUGCAAUGCACCGAUACUUUAGAUAAAUUCAAAUUGUGGUUAUUGUCCAUGUUGUUUCUUGUUCAUAUUUAACAGAGAAUAAAUAUAACUUAACAAAUAAUAGAAAUAUAUUGUUUCUAUUGCCCAUAUGUGUUAUUUUAUAAAUUUACUACUGACAUUUUCUAAUCAGUCAAAAUGGAAAAUAUAUUUUUGGAACAAAGAAAGAAGGCAGGCAUAAUAUUACAGCAGUUACAAUAUGUAAGACUACUUGAAUGACAAAAACUGAGCAAAAAUAUCCAAUGAGAAAAAAUCCUGAAUAUAUUAAAAUAUUUACAUUUAUAAUUAAAAUUGUGCUUAAUAUGAAAAAUACAACAGAAGAUAAUUACUUAUCCUUAAAAUUUUAUUAAAUAUUUGGUAGCCCAUAGGCACUUAUUUAUGUGAAUAUUGUUAAAAUUGAAUAUAUUUUACUGUGAAGCUUGAAUUAUCUUCCAGAUACAAUAAAGUAUGAAAUAUGUUCAUGUAUUUGACUUUAUUCAAUUAAAAAUUUUUUAAUGUAAGUUGAUUAUUUACAUGAACACUACAACUUGAAUUAGGUCUAUGAUACUUAAACACAAGGAAUAAAGAAACUACCUUGAACUAGCAACAUUUUGGUCCUUGAAAUUAUUAUGGUUAGUUUAAAGAUUGUUAAAAUCAUCAACAGGCUUACCUAACCUACCCUUAACACUCAGGAUUAACAUACUAUACAAUAGGGAGAAAACUAUUAAAUUACUUCAGUGUUCAAAAUCAAUACUAGUGCAAAAUCUCUUAUCUGUUUUAAAUGUGUGAGAUUCCAUUGUUUUUACUUACAUUCUGCUUUCAAAGUAUUUUUAGAAUAACAUUUUAUCCAUUAAUGUUUAAGAAACAAUUUUGUAAAAUCAUUAAGGACCAUUUUGUCACUGAUAUUUCCUUAUGAGCAUAUAUUAUCUGUCUGAGCAUAAUAGAGAAAAUUGCAAUGACUUCCUGGGUGGCAAGAAGUGGAAUACACUGUAAUCAUCAGCAGUGAAAAACUACUGCAAGAUAUGCUCAAAAUUUUCACCAAAAUCAAGUAAUUACAUUUAAUAUCAGUAAAACUGUAUACAUAAGUAUGUGGGAUAGGUGAUCAAUAUAAUUGUUUUAGUUUUUAAUCUUUUGACUCAGAAUGUCAACAAUUUUGUGAUUUUUCCAAAUACAAGAAUAGGAAAAUCAAGUACCAACCCACCUUUCCUGGAAUAGGGACAUAUUGGUCUGAUCCAGAGAAUAUGAAACAGAGCUUGCUCAUUUCUUAUAAAUUCCAUUAACCUUUUCUGGCCUUAAUUUUAUUUGAGCCACCUCAGUCACCACUUUCUGCAUAGUUAUUUAAUAUACUAGUUCCCUUUUAUCAUUUGAGAAAUCAGAGCACCUGAAAUGUGAACUUUUUCAUUCUGCUUUCAUCUGUGUAACUGUAUUUGGAAGAGCAUACAGUCUAAAUUUUUUUCUACCAACAUGUACAAUUUCACCUUGGAAACUCUAAUAAGGUAUGUCCCAUAGUUAGCAAACUUGUUUUUGGUCUGUUUGCAAUUCACACACAGAGUAAUACAACAGCCAAUAUUCUACAGCUCUACAGUUACAUAUGGAGUGCUCAAGUACUGCUUACAGUUAUUUUGGAGUGCCCUUAAGUAAACCAAAAAUCCUAAAAUGAAAGAACUAAGAACAAUUUAUCUGAGCUACAUCCAGUGUGCAACUCCUGGGUGCUAAGAUCAAAGAAGAGUAAGAAAAAAGAAUCAUAGCCUCUGGAUUCCAUUAGCUCACAGUUCACAAUCACGACAAGUCAUUCAACAGAUGUAUUGAAAGAUACAUCAGAUACACUGAAAUGCACAGUCGUUCAUAUGUCACAAAAGGUAAAUACAACCUAGAAUUAGUGGGAAUAAUAUCUCAAUUUUCCAGACAGUAUAGAGCUAUAUGCAAAAAUGACCCAACAAGAUACCUGCAUGUAAUUUAAUAAAUCAGUUUCUAAAAUAAUUUAUACAAAUCAUUCAACUGCAGAAUUUUUUCAGAUUACCAAGUUUCUAGUGCCCUUUAACACAUCUAUUAAUAAUCCUUCAUUCUAAGUCAUUUCAACAACCUAGUUAGUACUUCUACAUAUACAGAAAAUAAAAGUAUCUUUCCGUAGCAGACAUCCUAAGAAUACCUAUAAACGGAGAUUCCAAUGAAAUACAAUCAGAAAGACAGAAAUCUUCACACUUCUUUUAAACCUGUGUGAAAUCAUAUGAUAUGACUCCUUUUUUGUUCAGAACCUGAUUUCUUUUAGGACCUAAAAAUAUACAUGUUUUCAUUUAUUUAUGACAAUCACUGAAAGGAGCAUUGCUAGAGCAUCUUAUACAUACUUUGAUUUUUAUUUUUAAUUAAUUUUUUGUUAAAGUAGUGUUUUAAAAGGGUAAAAAAAUAGAAUUUUACUAAAAAGCUUUUAUUAUAAAACAAUGGAUCUCUGUCACAACCUUCCUCUUCCCAUUCACAAGACCCAAAGACGAUCACUUUCAAGUCUUUUUGUAUUCAAAUCUUUUAGUAUUUAAUUGCACAUUUCUAACUAAUGUGCUUAUAAUGAUAUUUAAGCCUUGUACAUAAACUACUUUUUAAUUUAAAAUUUAAUCAUUCUUUAUCAUCUUAUUUUGGCGGGUGAAUAUUUAAUUCUUAGGUAUCAUUUUUCCCAUCCUCCCAAUAUAAAUAAUUAUGUAACAGCUCACUGACUUUAAAUCAAGCCAAGGCUUAUAUUAUCACACAAAGUAAAUCUUGUUUAUGACUGAGCCAAGUAGUAUACUAUAAAUAAAUGUCAUUUCUUUUAUAUAUCUUUGUUCUUCCUUAUUAAAAACCUAUUUACAAUAAUUCACUUAGUUUUAUGGAACUAUUAUUACUUUUUCCAUGUUUUCACCCAAAAGUGUUAUUUUUCCAAAUUGUCAAAUGUAUCAAGUUAACAUUUUUCUUGGAAACUAAUGGUUAAUUUUAUGUAUUGACUUUCCUGGGCCAGAGUGUCCAGAUAAUUGCUUGAACAUUUUUCUAGGUGCUUCUACAAAGGUGUUUUGGGAUAAGAUGAGAUGGUUGGAUGGCAUCAUUGACUCAGUUGACAUGAGUUUGAGAAAGUGAAGGACAGAAGCUUGCAGAAGCUUGGCUUGCUGCAGUUCAUGGGGUUGCAAUGAGUUGGACACAACUGAGAAACUGAACAACAAACUUUGAGUGAAGCAAAUGGCCCUCCAUUAUGUGGGUAAGCCUCAUCCAACGUGCUGAAGACCUGAAAAGAACAAAAAGACUGACCCUCCUCUAAGUAACAGAGGAGUCUCCUGCAGACAGUCUUCGGACUUGAACUAGAACGUCAGCCUUUCUGGGUCUCCAACUUAAUAGCCUUUGGACUAGAAUCGUGGCAUCAGCCCUCAUGGGUCUCCAGCCUGCCAGCCCAUCCUGCACAUUUUCAGCCUCUGUAAUCAUGUUUCUCAAGAGAUGCAGCAGCCGAAAAGAGCUACCACAUGCCAGAGGUUGGGGCGGCGGCCGAGAGGAACUACAUAUAUAUGUAUGUAUGUAUAUAUACAUAUAUAUGUGUGUGUAUAUAUAUAUAUAUAUCUGUAAAAGAUAUCUGGUAAAGAAUUUUUAUCAAAAGUAUACAAAGAACUCUUAAAACUCACCAAUAAAAAAACAAAUAAUUUAAUGUUAAAAUGGGCCAAGGACUUUAACAGACGUGUCUUCAAAGAUAUACAAUAAUAAAUAAACACAUGAAAAGAUGUUCAACAUCACAUGUCAUCAGGGAAAUGCAAAUUGAAGAACAAUGAGAGACCACUACAUGCCUAUUACACUGGCCAAAAUCUAAAAACCUGACAAUACCAAAUGCUGGUGAGGAUGUGGAACAAAAGGAACUCUCAAUCAUUGCUGCUCGGAAUGCAAAACAGUAUAGCCACUCUGGAAGACUCUUUCUUACAAAACUAACCAUAUUCUUACCAUUCAGGCCUGCAAUCACACUCCUUGGUAUUUACCCAAAGGAACUGAAAACCUAUGUCCACAAAAAACCUGUACAUGGAUUUUAUAGCACCUUUCAUAAUUGCCAAAACUUGGAGGCAACCAAGAUAUGUUUUAGUAGGUGAAUGGAUAUAUAUAAAUUUCUUAAGUAUUGCAACUAAAAGGCAGAGCUUGUCAGACUGGAUAAAAAGGCAAGACGCAACUAUAUAUUGCUUACAAGAA